GACGAACGCUGGCGGCGUGCCCAAUACAUGCAAGUCGAGCGCAGGAAGCCGUCUGAACCCUUCGGGGGGACGACGGUGGAAUGAGCGGCGGACGGGUGAGUAACACGUAAAGAACCUGCCCAUAGGUCUGGGAUAACCACGAGAAAUCGGGGCUAAUACCGGAUGUGUCAUCGGACCGCAUGGUCCGAUGAUGAAAGGCGCUUCGGCGUCGCCCAUGGAUGGCUUUGCGGUGAAUUAGCUAGUUGGUGGGGUAACGGCCCACCAAGGCGACGAUGCAUAGCCGACCUGAGAGGGUGAUCGGCCACACUGGGACUGAGACACGGCCCAGACUCCUACGGGAGGCAGCAGUAGGGAAUCUUCCACAAUGGACGAAAGUCUGAUGGAGCAACGCCGCGUGAACGAUGAAGGCUUUCGGGUCAUAAAGUUCUGUUGUAAGGGAAGAACAAGUGCCGCAGGCAAUGGCGGCACCUUGACGGUACCUUGCGAGAAAGCCACGGCUAACUACGUGCCAGCCGCCGCGGUAACAC
rnacentral:rRNA from 1 species